AGAGUCCUCUCUCACUCUUGCACUCUCACAGCCAUCGCAUAAAACGGAACCAGCUGAACAACCAGAGGACACAUAAGCAAGCCCAUCGAGUGACGUGCUAGCGUAUUGUCCUUACUCGUCCCUCGACGUUUCGUUGUCGCCGUCGAUUCUUUGCUUCUCGUCGUGUGUGCGUGUGCGCGCGUGCUCCUCGUGUUCCGCUGAGCUACAGAACUAGCAAGGGCGUCUUUGGCUUGUCAUUGUUAAUCAUGGAGGAGCGCAAGACCGCGUCGGGGAGUGCGUACUACCUCCCUUCGCCGCUGCUGCUGUCGCAGAACCAGGGUGAGGAGCGGGUGAAGUUUGUUGUGGUGAGCGGUGGCGUGUGCAGCUCCCUCGGCAAGGGUGUCACGACCAGUGCCAUCGGUGCCCUGCUGCACGCUUCCGGCUACCGUGUGUGCAGCAUCAAGAUCGACCCUUACAUCAACAUUGACGCAGGUCUCAUGAGCCCGUAUGAACAUGGUGAAGUCUACGUGCUGGAGGACGGCGGUGAGGCGGACCUCGACCUCGGCAACUACGAGCGCUGGAUGUCGGUGCACCUGACCCGCGACCACAACAUCACAACUGGCAAGGUGUACCAGAAGCUGCUAACGAAGGAGCGCGCCGGAGGUUUUUUGGGCAAGACCGUGCAGCUUGUCCCGCACUUCACGAACGAGGUUGUGAACCACAUCUUCAAGAUCUGUCAGACACCCAUGAGCGGCUCAAACAAGCGGCCGGAGAUUUGCAUGAUUGAGCUGGGCGGCACGGUAGGCGACAUGGAAUCGCAGCCCUUUGUCGAGGCACUGCGCCGGCUGCGCUACUCUAUUCUGCCAGAGGACUUCUGCCUCCUGCACACGACGUACCUUCCGGUGUUUGGAGGGACGCAGAAAACGAAGCCGACGCAGCACAGCUGCCGCGCGCUGCUCUCCCUGGGCCUGCAACCCGACUUUCUCGUGUGCCGCAGCGAGCAGCCUUUGGCUGCGGAUGUGAAAGCGAAACUGUCGGACCAGUGCGGCGUUCAGAGCAAGGACAUCAUCGGCGCCCCCGACGUGAACUGCCUCUACCAGAUUCCCGUCAAGUUUGUGGAUCAGGGUUUGAUCGAUCGCCUCUUGCACAAGUUGCGCCUGCGGCCAAACAUGCCGCCCACGGACGCGCCGACCUAUCAAACCUUCAAAAAGUUCUCGGAUAUUCUGCAGAACCCGAACAACCAGAAGGUCCGCAUCGCCUUUGUCGGCAAGUACGUGACAGGCGGGUCGGACGCGUACUUCUCUGUGCUUCAGUGCUUCGAGCACUGCCAGCUUGCCCUCGGCAUCAACGUCGAGGUCUUCUACCUGGAGAGCGAGCAGCUGGAGGGCGAAAACGCCGAGGAGGCAAAGGCGGCGCUGCUCGAGUGCGACGGCAUCUUCGUCCCUGGCGGCUUCGGUGUUCGCGGCAUCGACGGUAAGGUGAACGCGGUGCGGCUGGCUCGCGAGCACAACAUCCCGUAUUUUGGCGUCUGCCUGGGCAUGCAGGUCGCCCUCAUCGAGUUUGCCCGCAGCCUACUCGGCUGGGAGGACGCGAACAGCGAGGAGUUCGACGCCUCCAGCACACGCCAAGUGGUGCGCAUCAUGGACGCCGACCGAGAGCGCAUGGGUGCCAACAUGCACCUUGGCGCUCGUGAAGUGCACAUUGUGGAGCCGCACUCGCGCAUGAGCACCAUCUACUCCGGCGCCAAGGUUGUGCUAGAACGCCACCGCCACCGCUAUGAGGUGCACGGCAAAUACCUGAAUGAUCUACGCAAACAAGGCCUCGUCAUCUCCGCCGUCUCAGACCCCGACGCCGGCGAGAACCUGCGUGUCGAGGCCAUUGAAAAUCCGUCGCUCAAGUUUUUCCUUGCCGUGCAGUUCCACCCCGAGUUCGUCUCCACCCCGCUCGACCCCUCGCCGCCGUAUCUUGCCUUCUUCGCAGCGGCGGCUGGCAAGGAGGUGAAUUGGCCCGCGGAGUGCACCGCGCGCCGCCUGCCCGCCUCGGCCCAAUCGAGCCAAGCGUGCAGGUAGCGUCUCGAUGGGGGCGCAGAGGGGCAGGGUGGGGCGGCGUUCCUGUUGAACGUGCUUUGGUGGUGGUAUUGGGGGAGUGGAUGGCCGCCCCUGCUUUUGUGCGGCUGAAGAGCGGCGGCGUGGGGUAGGGAGCCAACAAAACCCCUGACGUCGACAGACAGCGAGACACGAAGAAGGACUUCGAGGCGCGCUCCGUGAAGGGCCGUGCGUGUGCGUGUGUGUAUCUGUGUGUGUGUGGCUCUCUCUCCCUCUUCGUGGGUACGCCUAUCGGUGAUCUGCGAACAUGUGCGGGGCCAUUGCACACGCCGAUGUGCCUCCCUCCUCCUCGUCCUCCUCCUCCUCCCGGGGCAGCGCACGCCGCAAAGGCAACGGACGAAAGAGC
rnacentral:misc_RNA from 1 species